UAGGUAGGGUGCAAGCGUUAAUCGGAAUUACUGGGCGUAAAGCGUGCGCAGGCGGUCGCGUAAGCCAGAUGUGAAAUCCCCGGGCUUAACCUGGGAACUGCAUUUGGUACUGCGUGGCUGGAGUGCGGCAGAGGAAGGUGGAAUUCCUGGUGUAGCAGUGAAAUGCGUAGAGAUCAGGAGGAACACCGAUGGCGAAGGCAGCCUUCUGGGCCAGCACUUCCGCUCAUGCACGAAAGCGUGGGGAGCUAACAGG
rnacentral:rRNA from 1 species